AUUUCUUUGUGUUAAUUAAGAAUGAGUCCUGCUCAAUGUAUAAUAAAUAGCCGCGGUAUUUUGACUGUGCAAAGGUAGCAUAAUAAUUAGUCUUGUAAUUUAAGACUGGGAUGAAAGGAUAAACUAGAAAACCUCUUUUUUAAUUAUUGAUUUUGAAUUUUACCUUUUAGUAAGAAGGCUAAAAUGACUCUUUUAGACAAGAAGACCCUAUAAAACUUUACAUAAAAUAAUUUAAUAUAUUAAAAAUGUGUUUUGCUGGGGCGGUAGAGAGAAAAACACUCUCAAAUACAUAAAAAUUGCAUUAUUUCAAUACCCAAAAUUUUUGAAAAUUAAAUAAGUUACUUUAGGGAUAACAGCGUUAUAUACUUUAAGAGCUCAAAUUGACAAGUAUGUUUGCGACCUCGAUGUUGGAUUAAAUUUCCUUUAUUACGCAAGAGUUAUAUUAGGAGGUCUGUUCGACCUGUAAAAAUUUCCA
rnacentral:rRNA from 1 species